rnacentral:rRNA from 1 species
UGGGGAAUUUUGGACAAUGGGGGCAACCCUGAUCCAGCCAUUCCGCGUGAGUGAAGAAGGCCUUCGGGUUGUAAAGCUCUUUCAGCUGGAACGAAACGGUACGCUCUAACAUAGUGUGCUAAUGACGGUACCAGCAGAAGAAGCACCGGCUAACUACGUGCCAGCAGCCGCGGUAAUACGUAGGGUGCGAGCGUUAAUCGGAAUUACUGGGCGUAAAGCGUGCGCAGGCGGAUUGUUAAGCAAGAUGUGAAAUCCCCGGGCUUAACCUGGGAAUGGCAUUUUGAACUGGCAGUCUAGAGUGUGUCAGAGGGGGGUGGAAUUCCACGUGUAGCAGUGAAAUGCGUAGAGAUGUGGAGGAACACCGAUGGCGAAGGCAGCCCCCUGGGAUAACACUGACGCUCAUGUACGAAAGCGUGGGUAGCAAACAGGAUUAGAUACCCCCGUAGUCCCUGAGCGGGCUGGCAAGGCGCAU